UUUGUUUGGAAAUAGGGUCUUGCUACAUUCCCCAGGCCAGUCUCAAACUCCUGGGCUCAAAGAAUCCUCCUGCCUCAGUCUCCCAAAGUGCUGGGAUCACAAGCGUGAGCCACCACACAAGCAUAACAUAUCUUUUUAAAAAUGAUGCCUAGAGGCAAUUUGAUCAUCCACAGUGUAACAAAAGUAGUGGCAACAACCAAAGAGCCCACGAGUAAUAUGAAAGAACCAUAUACAUAUUAGAGAUUUAACUUUUGAGGAAAAAGCAAGGUGCUACUUCUAUACAGUAGUUCAGAUGAUUCAGCUGUACUAAAAUUGUUAUAGGAGGCAGAAAGAAAUUAUUUAGAUAGACAGUUAGGGUAAAGUGAGUCCCCAGCAGAAAACUUUCCUUUUAAAAAAAGCAGCUCAGCUUCUCCGAGAAAACACCAAAUGGUGGAUGACGCCGGUGCAGCGGGGGGGCCUGGAGGCCCUGGUGGCCCUGGGAUGGGGAACCGCGGUGGCUUCCGCGGAGGUUUCGGCAGUGGCAUCCGGGGCCGCGAGGGGCCACGGAGACAAGGCUGAGGAUAAGGAGUGGAUGCCCGUCACCAAGCUGGGCUGCUUGGUCAAGGACAUGAAGAUCAAGCCCCUAGAGGAGAUCUACCUCUUCUCCCUGCCCAUUAAGGAAUCUGAGAUCAUUGAUUUUUUCUUGGGGGCCUCUCUCAAAGACGAGUUUUUGAAGAUUAUGCCGGUGCAGAAGCAGACCCGUGCUGGCCAGCGCACCAGGUUCAAGGCGUUCGUUGCUAUCGGGGACUAUAAUGGCCAUGUCCGCCUGGGUGUUAAGUGCUCCAAGGAGGUGGCCACUGCCAUUUGUGGGGCCAUCAUCCUGGUCAAACUCUCCAUUGUCCCUGAGCGCAGAGGCUACUGGGGGAACAAGAUUGGCAAGCCCCACACCGUCCCUUGCAAGGUGACAGACCGCUGUGGCUCUGUGCUGGUGCACCUCAUCCCUGCACCCAGGGGCACUGGCAUCGUCUCAGCACCUAUGCCCAAGAAGCUGCUCAUGAUGGCUGGUGUCGAUGACUGCUACACCUCAGCCCGGGGCUGCACUGCCACCCUGGGCAACUUCGCCAAGGCCACCUUCGAUGCCAUCUCUAAGACCUACAGCUACCUGACCCCUGACCUCUGGAAGGAGACUGUGUUUACCAAGUCUCCCUAUCAGGAAUUCACUGACCACCUUGUCAAGACACGCACCAGAGUCUCCGUGCAGCGGACCCAGGCUCCAGCUGUGGCUACAAUAUAGGGUUUUUAUACAAGAAAAAUAAAGUGAAUUAAGCCUG